GCCCCAGACACCUAAUCUUGUUCCAGCCUUUGCUAGAUCACAGGUGUUUAUCUCCAGGUCGCCAUGGAAGCUGCUAGUAUUAGCAGCAGCACAGCCAGCUUGGCCAUGCUGGCAGCCUUAGAGCCUUCUGAGUCCUGGGGCUCUCUGCUGGAGACUGGCCAGCUGGGCUCCAGGCUGCCCAACAGCAGCUUGCGUGGAGAACCAUAUGAGACACAAAGUAGGAACUUGCUAUGAGGGGCAGGUUCAGUUUCAGGUGUCAAGGGUGCUAGUAAAGUCAGAUCUGCAUUUCCUGUCCUCUGGGACUGUAGACCAGGGGGACAACAGCCUCUGAUUGACAGCCCCUGAUUCACUUUGUUGGGGGAUCGGCUGGCUCCCCAAAGACAGAGAUGUAUGGAAGACUUGUGAGGAAGGGACCAGCUACUCAGAUGGAGGGCACUUGGGUAUGGUGCCUGCCUACUGCUCCACCAGACAUCACAUGCCUCUGUUAGGCCAGCCUCAAGCCUGACCACCUGCAUGCCGGUAAAACAUCACCUUACCGGCUGUCCCGUUCACGUUCGCACUUCUACCAGGAGACGGACGGACAGAGCAAGCUCUCAGUAUGAAUCUCUUACUCUCAAGAAUGGGGAGCCAGCCUCUGGGGAACACUGCAAAAGGGACUCAAGGAAGAAGCCACUGCCCUCCAGACCUAAAGUGUCCACCAAAGGAAAAGCCAGCAGUGUUCCUUGGAAUAUUCUAGAACAGGACAGAUUUAUGAAACUGUGAUGCACAGCUAAGUCUUGUGGGAGAAGGGAACCAACCAGGGUACCUGCUGUCACAGUCACUUCAGCCACAGCCACGUUCAGGGGACAAUGCCGAGGCGAAGGGUUGCGGUUACAGGUGGGCACCACCAUACCUGAUUUCUGCAAGGCUGGAGGCAGAACCCAGAGCUUCAGGGGUGCUGGUAUGAAGACAAAUGUGGUUCAUCUCCCAUCCACUGGAGGCCAAAGGGGUAAGAAACCAGGGGUCUUGGGGCAUCCUAACUUGUUCUGUAAGUCACAGUUCGUUCUCUCUCUCUCUCUCUCUCUCUCUCUCUCUCUCUCUCUCAUUUUUUUUAGGUGCUGGGAAUGAAACUCAGGGUAGGCCAGUUCCCUGGGUGACACCCCUAGCCCUGACUUCUGUAUUUCUAACUAAAGAAUAACAUCACCACCACCACCAGCCGUUGUUUUUUUUUCUACCACUGAGCUACAUCUCCAGCCCUAAUAUUAGCUGUUUAAAAACAUGUUUGGGGGCUGGUGAGAUGGCUCA